GCUUUUGGUUCAGUGGUAGAAUGCUCGUCUGCCACGCGGGCGCCCCGGGUUCGAUUUCCGGCCGAUACA
rnacentral:tRNA from 1 species